GGCUUGGUUGCACAGUGGUUAGUGCUACUGCUUAAAGUGUAACUGCACUUAGGAAAAGGUACCCGGUUCGAAUCCGGGUUAGGCCA